rnacentral:rRNA from 1 species
GACGAACGCUGGCGGCGUGCCUAAUACAUGCAAGUAGAACGCUGAAGAGAGGAGCUUGCUCUUCUUGGAAGAGUUGCGAACGGGUGAGUAACGCGUAGGUAACCUGCCUUGUAGCGGGGGAUAACUAUUGGAAACGAUAGCUAAUACCGCAUAACAAUGGGUGACCCAUGUCAUUCAUUUGAAAGGGGCAACUGCUCCACUACAAGAUGGACCUGCGUUGUAUUAGCUAGUAGGUGAGGUAACGGCUCACCUAGGCGACGAUACAUAGCCGACCUGAGAGGGUGAUCGGCCACACUGGGACUGAGACACGGCCCAGACUCCUACGGGAGGCAGCAGUAGGGAAUCUUCGGCAAUGGGGGCAACCCUGACCGAGCAACGCCGCGUGAGUGAAGAAGGUUUUCGGAUCGUAAAGCUCUGUUGUAAGUCAAGAACGAGUGUGAGAGUGGAAAGUUCACACUGUGACGGUAGCUUACCAGAAAGGGACGGCUAACUACGUGCCAGCAGCCGCGGUAAUACGUAGGUCCCGAGCGUUGUCCGGAUUUAUUGGGCGUAAAGCGAGCGCAGGCGGUUUGAUAAGUCUGAAGUUAAAGGCUGUGGCUCAACCAUAGUUCGCUUUGGAAACUGUCAAACUUGAGUGCAGAAAGGGGAGAGUGGAAUUCCAUGUGUAGCGGUGAAAUGCGUAGAUAUAUGGAGGAACACCCGGGUGGGCGAAAGCGGGCUCUCUGGUCUGUAACUGACGCUGAGCUCGAAAGCGUGGGGGAGCGAACAGG